GGGAAGGUAGGAAGCUCUGCUGUUUCCCACAGGACAAAUCCAGCCAGCCCACCUUCUGACAGGCGCUCCUCCCUUGGUGUGUCCCUCCGGCACAGGGCUCAUCAAAAUCAAUGAUGAUUGUUUGAGCUGCAUCCAUCUUCCCUCCCAAGAUGGAGAGUUAUUUAAGGAUCCACGGACAAGUCAUUCACUCAACCAAUAUUUAUUAAACAUCAAUUCUGCAUGAGAUGCUAUGAGGCUGAGCGAGAAAUGAACUCCGCAUCCAGCCUUCUUCAACUCAACUCCGCUCCGUUUGGAAAGGAUGGAGGAGGUAGCCCUGAAAUGGGGUCACUGGGAAACCAAAGAAAUCCCCUUUGCCUUUAAGGGGCAGAAAGUCUGGCUGGAGAGACAAGAUUAAGAAAUGAGAAUUUGCAAAAGAAAUCAUUUUAAAAUCAAACAGAAUACAUAGGACUUGAACAAAGAAAGUCAGUGUAUCCGGGAGAAGUGAAAUUGUAAUCUCAACAUGCUGCUUAAGAAAGCAAGGAAGUCUGCAUCACUCCCUUUAAAAAUUAUUUCUAUGAAAAAUGUCAUACUGGAAAAAAUAA